CCCAGGCGCGAAAACUUUACAAUGCGGGAAACCGUGAUAAGGGGACACCGAGUGCCAGCAUCAUAUGCUGGCUGUCCGGGUGUGUAAAAUACACCCGUUAGCAAGGGCCGGGCAAGACCGGUGCCAGCCGCCGCGGUAACACCGGCGGCCCGAGUGGUGAUCGUGAUUAUUGGGUCUAAAGGGUCCGUAGCCGGUUUGGUCAGUCCUCCGGGAAAUCUGACGGCUCAACCGUUAGGCUUUCGGGGGAUACUGCCAGGCUUGGAACCGGGAGAGGUAAGAGGUACUACAGGGGUAGGAGUGAAAUCUUGUAAUCCCUGUGAGACCACCUGUGGCGAAGGCGUCUUACCAGAACGGGUUCGACGGUGAGGGACGAAAGCUGGGGGCACGAACCGGAUUAGAUACCCGGGUAGUCCCAGCCGUAAACGAUGCUCGCUAGGUGUCAGGCAUGGCGCGACCGUGUCUGGUGCCGCAGGGAAGCCGUGAAGCGAGCCACCUGGGAAGUACGGCCGCAAGGCUGAAACUUAAAGGAAUUGGCGGGGGAGCAC
rnacentral:rRNA from 1 species